GUGACCUGCGGAAGGAUCAUUAUUGAAUAAGCUUGGUUGGGUUGUUGCUGGCUCUUCGGAGCAUGUGCACGCCUAACACCAAUCUUCUUUACCACCUGUGCACCUUUUGUAGACCUGGAUAUCUCUCGAGGAAACUCGGUAUGAGGACUGCUGUGCAUUUAAUAAAGCCGGCUUUCCUUACAUUUCCGGUCUAUGUCUUCAUAUACACCAUUUGUAUGUCAUAAGAAUGUUAUAAUAGGACUUGAUUGUCCAAAUAAACCUUAUACAACUUUCAACAACGGAUCUCUUGGCUCUCGCAUCGAUGAAGAACGCAGCGAAAUGCGAUAAGUAAUGUGAAUUGCAGAAUUCAGUGAAUCAUCGAAUCUUUGAACGCACCUUGCGCUCCUUGGUAUUCCGAGGAGCAUGCCUGUUUGAGUGUCAUGAAAUUCUCAACCUUUUCGGCUUUUACCAAAGUUGAUUAGGCUUGGAUGUGGGAGUUUGCGGGCUUUUCUAAAGUCGGCUCUCCUUAAAUUCAUUAGUAGGGACCUUUGUUGCCUUAGCUUUUGGUGUGAUAAUUAUCUACGCCAUUAUGUGAAGCAGCUUUAAAUUGGAGGUUACUGCUUUCUAAUCGUCUCCGGACAUUUCCUGACAAUUUGACCUCAAAUCAGGUAGGACUACCCGCUGAACUUAAGCAUA
rnacentral:rRNA from 1 species